CGUGUAGGCGGCUUAAUAAGUCAGAUGUUAAAGCCCCCGGCUCAACCGGGGAUAGUCAUUUGAAACUGUUAGGCUUGAGUGCGAGAGAGGGUAGUGGAAUUCCCAGUGUAGCGGUGAAAUGCGUAGAUAUUGGGAAGAACACCAGUAGCGAAGGCGGCUACCUGGCUCGCAACUGACGCUAAGGCGCGAAAGCGUGGGGAGCAAACA
rnacentral:rRNA from 1 species